GGGGCAACCUGGCGACGAGUGGCGAACGGGUGAGUAAUGCAUCGGAACGUGCCCAGUAGUGGGGGAUAGCCCGGCGAAAGCCGGAUUAAUACCGCAUACGACCAACGGGUGAAAGGGGGGGAUCGCAAGACCUCUCGCUAUUGGAGCGGCCGAUGUCAGAUUAGGUAGUUGGUGGGUAAAGGCCCACCAAGCCGACGAUCUGUAGCUGGUCUGAGAGGACGACCAGCCACACUGGGACUGAGACACGGCCCAGACUCCUACGGGAGGCAGCAGUGGGGAAUUUUGGACAAUGGGCGCAAGCCUGAUCCAGCCAUGCCGCGUGCGGGAAGAAGGCCUUCGGGUUGUAAACCGCUUUUGUCAGGGAAGAAACGCUCUGAGUUAAUACCUCGGGGUAAUGACGGUACCUGAAGAAUAAGCACCGGCUAACUACGUGCCAGCAGCCGCGGUAAUACGUAGGGUGCAAGCGUUAAUCGGAAUUACUGGGCGUAAAGCGUGCGCAGGCGGUUUUGUAAGACAGAGGUGAAAUCCCCGGGCUUAACCUGGGAACUGCCUUUGUGACUGCAAGGCUUGAGUGCGGCAGAGGGGGAUGGAAUUCCGCGUGUAGCAGUGAAAUGCGUAGAUAUGCGGAGGAACACCGAUGGCGAAGGCAAUCCCCUGGGCCUGCACUGACGCUCAUGCACGA
rnacentral:rRNA from 1 species